UACAACAUAACAUUAAUGCACUGGAUCCCAUUAGAACUCCGCAGUUAGCACACUCGAGCUAGAGUAGUACUGGGAUGGGUGACCACCCGGGAAGUCCCAGUGUUUUAC
rnacentral:rRNA from 1 species